CUUUUGUCUUUUUUAGGGCCGCACCUGUGACAUAAGGAGGUUCCCAGGCUAGGGGUCCAAUUGGAGCUGUUGCUGCCGGCCUACACCAGAGCCACAGCAAUGCCAGAUCCUAGCCAUGUUUGCAACCUACACCACAGCUCACAGCAAUGCCAGAUUCUUAACCCACUGAGUGAGGCCAGGGGUCAAACCCGAAACCUCAUGGUUCCUAGUCAGAUUCGUUUCCACUGUGCGACGACGGGCACACUUUGCUUUUCAAACAGCCAGCCUGCUGGUGGCUCCUUCCUGUCCUCACUGCUGGACCACACCUUCUGUCCACCUGCAUCAUUCAUAUCUGGCCUGGGACCAUUCAUACAGUGGGCACUUCAUAAGUGAGAAAACAAAUGAUCAAAAAUUUUCCAUCUUACAUGCAAUAUGUCUAUAUCUUCCAACGUACCUCUCUGCUCCUUGCACCCUCCUCACCCCUAACAAGCCAGGUCUCCCUCCAAAUGCCCAUGGGACUGCCUGCCAAGAUUGUCAAUGAGCCUCUGCCAAGUCCCACAGACACUCCUCUCUCUGGCCACCUGAGUCCCCGUCUUCCUUGGUCCUUGUCCCCUAGUCACCCCUAACUUGCGGAGACCCUCAGAGUUCCAUUCAGUCUUCCAGGUGAUCUCUUAUGCGUCCACGGUUACCUUUUUUCCUAUAUGCUGAUCAUCCCCAAAGUUCAAAUCCUGAGGCUGUGUCAGGGGUCCCCAAGACCGCCCCAUCAUUCAGAGAUUUGCUAGAACUCAUGAGACUCAGCAUGAGUUGUGGUCAUGGAUGAGAUUUAUUACAGAGAUACAGCGAGGAUCCCGGCCAAUUGUGAGGACAGAGACUCGGCGGGUCCAGGGGAUCCGAGUGAGGCUUUUGCUUGCUCCUUCCCUCCCACGGAGGCUGCACAGAACUCACUCUUCCCCCGGCAGUGAAAAUGUAGCCACACGUGUGUGCUGUUCGGCCCAGGGAAGCCCAUGAGAGACUCAGCUUGAGUUGUAACCAGGACUGGUCGUGUAGGCGCUCUCUGCCGAGCACAUACCAACAUUCCUGACUCCCAGAGGGAAAGUAGGUGUACGGCAUAAAUCACAGUGUCUGCACAAACAGUCUAGUCACAGAAAACCACCCUUAUCAGUUAGCGGGUGAUGGGGACACUCUGAGAGCCAAGUUCCCAGACGCCAGCCAAGGGCCAGCCUUGCAGUCAGACCUUUCUAAGGACAGUAGCCCCAGGUCUGCUGUGCUUACUCCUCCCUGAAUCUGUCUCCUGAACCACAGAGCCCCAUGUUUCCAGCUUCCCACCAGACUCAGGGGCCUCGCACUCACCCUCUCCCAGCUAUUGUACCUGUUACCUGUCUUUUGUUCUCCUCUCCCCCACCCAGCCCAGGCACUGGCCCUCACAUGCCACCACCUCUUUCUAAUCGCCCUGCUGCUCAGGACCCACCCCCCACACCCCCUGCCCACCCAGGACGGCACCGACGGCCCUCAGACAAGCCUCUCUCUCUUGUGUCGCACCCCUCCCGUCUGAUUCUCACAUUAUUCAGAGUUAUCUUUUAAACACGAAAACUGGAGCAUUUCAUUCCUCCACUUAAACCCUUUAAUGGCUCCCCAGUGCAUGCCUGUAAAUGUAAAUCUUUUAACAAGAUCUUCAAGUCCCCAGCAAUCUGCCCCCCGCUCCCCCCCCCCCCGAGCUCUAGUCUUAUUUCACAUCCUUCCCCACCCCCAACACCCCACACUGGUGACACAGUGCCUUGUCAGUUUCUCCCCCAGCCCUUUCUCAUUUGGGACCUCACAUGAUCUUUUCACUGCCUGGCUCCCUCCACUCAUUCUUCAGGCUGCAGGUUGAAGGUCGCGUCCUCAGAAGUCCUCCUCCUCUCUUGCAUAGUCUAAAUGAAGUCCCGCUACUCUCUUUCAUAAUAGGAACCAUACGUGUCUGUGUGGGGCGUUCAUUUCAUGCCUCCCUCUCCUCCCCACCAGAGUGUAAGCUCCAUGAGGGCAAGGAUUCUGUGUUCACCCUGGAUUUCUGGAGCCAGGCCCGUGCUGGCUAUGUGGCUGUGUGCAUCUCCAGCAGCUCGGGCUGCCAUAACAAAGAGACUAAGGGUUUAAGGCAGAAGUCUGCUUCUCACAGUUCCAGAGGCUGGAAGUCCACGACCAGGGUGCAGUCCUGGUCAGUUCCUGGUGAGAACCCGCUUCCUGGCUUGCAGAUGGCCACCUUCUACCGUGUCCUCAUGGCCUUUCCCUGGUGUCUUCCGAGCCUGCAGUGACCUGGCCCUCCUCUCGGUCCAGUGCCUCUCAGCAGUGCCCCCUACAAAGCUCCUUGUUCCCCAUUAGGAGCCCAUGCAGUGUCCCUGUCUGCCCUCAAACCCAUGCUCCUGCAGUAGCAGCUCCUUCACAUCAUGAACCCCUGUAGCAUGGGUGGUGCAUCCAUAGAUGCCCUGUGAGCAGAGGCAGCAGAACUGCCCAAACCUGUGCUCCUAGGCGCUGAGGAACUGACAGAGAGAAAACACAUCCUGGAGAGGAAAGAGCCAUGCACGGAAGCUGGAGAAGGAGGCUGAAACCAGCUCAGCACUCAGCACUGGGUGUCUGCAGCUCCUCAGUCCCUUGCUGCCCUGGGGAGCAGAGCUGGCCCAUUA
rnacentral:lncRNA from 1 species